CACCACUUUUGACUUAUCAUCGACGACCGUGUCCAGCAUCAGACCCAACAUCAGGUCCAGAUGAUUCAUGUCAUGCGUCGGACCCUGCACCUAAUGCGGACUUAUCCCCUCCUGAUCAGCCGAUUGCACUUCGAAAGGUGAAGCCCUUUCUCAUCCCGGAUGGCGACGGGCUAUGAUUGACGAGGUGUCUGCUUUACACACGAGUGGUAUUUGGGAGCUUGUUCCUCUUCCUUCAGGGAAAUCUACUAUUGGUUGUCGUUGGGUUUAUGCAGUCAAAGUUGGUCCGGAUGGCCAAGUUGAUCGGCUUAAGGCUCGCCUUGUUGCGAAGUGGUAUACACAGAUAUUCGGGCUUGAUUACAUUGAUACUUUCUCUCCCGUGGCUAAAAUAGUAUCUGUUUGUCUUUUUCUAUCCAUGGCUGUUGUCCGCCAUUGGCCUCUUUAUCAGUUGGACAUUAAGAAUGCUUUUCUCCAUGGUGAUCUUGAGGAGGAAGUUUAUAUGGAGCAACCACCUGGUUUGUUGCUCAGGGGGAGUCUAAUCUGGUGCGUCGAUUGCAUCGGUCACUUUAUGGUCUGAAACAGUCUCCUCGAGCCUUUGGUAAAUUCAGCACAGUAGUUUAGGAGUUUGGCAUGACUUGCAGUGAAGCAGAUCAUUUUGUGUUUUAUCGACAUUCUGCUCCAAAUUUGAGUAUUUAUUUGGUGGUUUAUGUUGAGAUAUCGUUAUAACUGGCAGUGAUCAAGUGGUAUCACUAAUUUAAAGCAACAUCUCUUUCAGCAUUUCCAGACUAAAGAUCUUGGCAGAUUGAAGUAUUUUCUAGGUAUUGAGGUUGCCCAAUCCACGUUAGGUAUUGUUAUUAAGUGACGCAAGUAUGCCUUAGACAUUUUGAGGAGACAGGAAUGAUGGGAUAUAGACCCAUUGACACUCCUAUGGAUCCGAAUGCUAAACUCCUGCCAGGACAGGGGGAGCCACUCAGUGAUCCCGGAAGAUAUAGGCGGCUGGUUGGUAAGUUGAAUUAUUUCACAAUGACUAGACCUGACAUUUCGUUUCCUGUGAGUGUUGUAAGUCAAGUUUAUGGAUUCUCCCUGUGAUAAUCAUUGGGAUGCAGUUGUCCGCAUUCUGCGAUAUAUUAAGUCAGGUCCAGGUAAAGGACUGCUUUUCAAAGAUUGAGGCGAUGAGCAGAUCGUUGGAUAUACAGAUGCUGAUUAUGCAGGAUCACCCUCUGAUAGACGUUCUACAUUCGGAUAUUGUGUGUUAAUAGGAGGUAAUUUGGUAUCCUGGAAGAGUAAGAAACCGAGUGUCGUUGCUCGAUUUAGUGUUGAAUCGGAAUAUCGAGCAAUGGCUGUUGCAACUUGUGAGCUAGUUUGGAUUAAGCAGUUGCUCGGAGAACUAAAAUUUGGAGAAAUCAGUCAAGUGGAACUUGUGUGUGAUAAUAAAGCGGCCCUUUAUAUCGCAUCAAAUCCGGUAUUUCAUGGGAGGAUUAAGCAUAUUGAGAUUGACUGUCACUUUGUCAGGGAAAAGAUACUCUCCGGAGCUAUUGUUACUAAAUUUGUGAAGUCGAGUGAUCAGCUUGCAGAUAUUUUCACCAAGUCAAUCAGUUGUCCUCGUAUUUGAUACAUCUGUAACAAGCUCGGUACAUAUGACUUAUAUGCACUAGCUUGAGGGGGAGUGUUAGAAUAGGAAUAGGAUUUGUAUAUAGUAUCUACAUGGAAAAGGAUUAGAAUGUAGUGUCUAUAAAUAGGGCUCAAUGUAAUAAUGUAGAUACAUAAUUCAAUAAUAAUAUUUUCUCCCAUA